rnacentral:lncRNA from 1 species
AACAACACCUUAGUCUUUAACAACCAUAUAAAUAUCUCAUUAAAACCUCCAUUUAAAAAAAAAUAGAAAUUAUUUAUUUAUUUAUUUAUUCUAUUGUUGUUAUGUAAAAAUAAAUAAGAGAGAGAGAUAUGAGAGAUUUGUUUUUUUACUUCUUUUGUUUUACUGACUUUUGUUUUUUUUUUCUUUCAAUUUUUAAUAUGAUGCUAUUUUGUUUUUAUUUUUUUAUCAUUUCAAUUAAGAGUGGCCAUGUGUCAUGAAUUAAGUGGAGAUUUAAAAAAAAGUGAGAGAAUUUGGAAAAAAAAGGAUGGCGGCGCCAACUUUCCUUGAUGUUUUUUAUUUUUAUUUUUUUUCAUUAUUAUUAUUAUCAUUGCUAAGUUUUUUUAGUGAUGGUCUUGGGCAUUCUUGAUUUUGCAUACACACCCCCUACUUUGCCUAUUCAACACAAACUGCAUCCCUAGUUUCACUUUUCCUUUUUAUUUAUUUUAUUUUUUCAGUUAUUGAUAUUUCAUUUUUUUAGUUUUGCUAUUAGUAAUUAUAAAAAAAAUACAAAAAAAAAUCUUUUAAUUUUCUUUAAGAUAUUUAAUUAAAUUCCCAAAAAACAAAUAUCAUGAAAAAUAAAAGUG